GUACGGCGAGUGAAGAGGGAAGAGCCCAAGAUUGAAAGCUGGCGUCUUCGGCGUCCGCAUUGUAAUCUCAAGAAGUGUUUUCCGCUUCGGACCAAGCCUAAGUCCCUUGGAAAAGGGCAUCAUAGAGGGUGAUAAUCCCGUACAUGGCUUGGAGCGCCCGAAGCUUUGUGAUACGCUUUCUAAGAGUCGAGUUGUUUGGGAAUGCAGCUCAAAAUGGGUGGUAAAUGCCAUCUAAGGCUAAAUAUUGGGGAGAGACCGAUAGCGAACAAGUACAGUGAUGGAAAGAUGAAAAGAACUUUGAAAAGAGAGUUAAACAGUACGUGAAAUUGCCAAAAGGGAAGGGUAGGAGGUCAGAGAUGCGGCCUGGGAUUCAGCCUUGCUUUUGCUUGGUGUUUUUCCCAGAUUGCAGGCCAACGUCGGUUUUGGGCACUGGAGAAGGGUAGGAGGAACGUGGCACCUCUCGGGGUGUGUUAUAGCCUCCUACUGGAUACAGCGACCGAGACCGAGGACAGCAGCGUACUCGCAAGAGCGGGCCUUCGGGCACCUUUACGCUUAGGGCGUUGGCAUAAUGGCCCUCUACCACCCGUC
rnacentral:rRNA from 1 species